CAAUAGCGUAUAUUAAAGGUGUUGCAGUUAAAAAGCUCGUAGUUGGAUUUCUGGUGGGAGCGAUCGGUCUGGCGCUUAGCGCGAGUACUUGCAUCGUCUCCGGCCAUCCUUGGGGAGAGUCUGUCUGGCAUUAAGUUGUCGGGCAGAGGAUCCUCAUCGUUUACUGUGAAAAAAUUAGAGUGUUCAAAGCAGGCUUAUGCCGUUGAAUAUAUUAGCAUGGAAUAAUAAGAUAGGACUUUGGUACUAUUUUGUUGGUUUGCGCACCAAAGUAAUGAUUAAUAGGGACAGUUGGGGGUAUUCGUAUUCCGUUGUCAGAGGUGAAAUUCUUGGAUUUACGGAAGACGAACUACUGCGAAAGCAUUUACCAAGGAUGUUUUCAUUAA
rnacentral:rRNA from 1 species